rnacentral:rRNA from 1 species
UACGUAGGCAGCGAGCGUUGUUCGGAGUUACUGGGCGUAAAGAGUGCGUAGGCGGUUUUCUAAGUUUGGUGUGAAAUCUCCCGGCUUAACUGGGAGGGUGCGCCGAAGACUGGAAGGCUUGAGUAUGGGAGAGGUAAGCGGAAUUCCUGGUGUAACGGUGAAAUGCGCAGAUAUCAGGAGGAACACCGAUGGCGAAGGCAGGUCUCUGGGCAUUAACUGACGCUGAGGAGCGAAAGCAUGGGGAGCGAACAGG